GGGGUCGUGGCCUAAUGGUAAGGCGUUGGUUUUCGGCACCAAAAAUUGCAGGUUCGAGUCCUGCCGGUCUCG